rnacentral:rRNA from 1 species
GCCUAUGGCCAUGCUACCCUGAACAAGCCCGAUCCCAUCUGAUCUCGGAAGCUAAGCAGAGUCUGGCCUGGUUAGUACUUAGAUGGGAGACCACCUAAGAAGACCAGGUGCCUUAGGCA